CGCGCCGCACGCUGGCUGCCAGCACCUUGGCUGCCACACCUGGCCCUGACAGCUCUGGGUGCAACCGCAGGUGGCGUGCCAGGCUCUUGGGCUGGCUGAAGCCACGGCCGCAGCGCGGACACACGAAGGGCUUUAAACCACUGUGGGAGCGCCGGUGCUUGGCUAGGCUCUUGCUCUGUGUGAAGCUGCGGCCGCAGUCGGGGGUGAAGAGCUGCUUCCACCUAAUUCCCACACCAUCCUGGGAGAGGACCUGUGUGCACUCUCAACACGAGGAACAAGACCCUGCUGGACCCUGGGCCCUGAACCCUAGUCACUACUCUUUCUCCUGUCUCCCAAGCGCUAUUGAAAAGAAAUGCUAUUAAA
rnacentral:lncRNA from 1 species